rnacentral:rRNA from 1 species
UACGUAGGGUGCAAGCGUUGUCCGGAAUUAUUGGGCGUAAAGAGCUCGUAGGCGGUUUGUUGCGUCGGCUGUGAAAUCCCGAGGCUCAACCUCGGGUCUGCAGUCGAUACGAGCAAACUAGAGUGUUGCAGGGGAGACUGUAAUUCCUGGUGUAGCGGUGAAAUGCGCAGAUAUCAGGAGGAACACCGGUGGCGAAGGCGGGUCUCUGGGCAACAACUGACGCUGAGGAGCGAAAGCGUGGGGAGCGAACAGG